GGCGAACGCUGGCGGCGUGCCUAACACAUGCAAGUCGAACGGACAGGCCGGGCUUUUGUGGGGUGCUCGAGUGGCGAAGGGGUGAGGAACACGUGAGUAACCUGUCCCUGACUUUGGGAUAACUUCAGGAAACUGGGGCUCAUACCGGAUAGGAGCUCCUGCUGCAUGGUGGGCGUUGGAAAGUUUCGGCGGUUGGGGAUGGACUCGCGGCUUAUCGGCUUGUUGGUGGGGUAGUGGCUUACCAAGGCUUUGACGGGUAGGCGGCCUGAGAGGGGGACCGGCCACAUUGGGACUGAGAUACGGCCCAGACUCCUACGGGAGGCAGCGGUGGGGAAUAUUGCACAGUGGGCGGAAGCCUGAUGCGGCAACGCCGCGUGCGGGAUGACGGCCUUCGGGUUGUAAACCGCUUUCGCCUGUGACGAGGCGUGAGUGACGGUAAUGGGUAAAGAAGCACCGGCUAACUACGUG
rnacentral:rRNA from 1 species